rnacentral:rRNA from 1 species
GAUGAACGCUAGCGGCAGGCUUAAUACAUGCAAGUCGAGGGGCAGCACGGGUAGCAAUACCUGGUGGCGACCGGCAAACGGGUGCGGAACACGUACGCAACCUUCCCAUAACUGGUGAAUAGCCCUCCGAAAGGAGGAUUAAUACACCGUAACUUAACGAAGUGGCAUCACUUUGUUAAUAUAGGCUUCGGCCGGUUUUGGAUGGGCGUGCGCCUGAUUAGGUAGUUGGCGGGGUAACGGCCCACCAAGCCUGCGAUCAGUAACUGGUGUGAGAGCACGACCAGUCACACGGGCACUGAGACACGGGCCCGACUCCUACGGGAGGCAGCAGUAAGGAAUAUUGGUCAAUGGACGAAAGUCUGAACCAGCCAUGCCGCGUGAAGGAUUAAGGCCCUCUGGGUUGUAAACUUCUUUUCUUAGGGACGAUGAUGACGGUACUUAAGGAAUAAGCUCCGGCUAACUCCGUG